AUGGUGGCCCUUGCUUAGCUUCUGCAGUGCGGGCUGGGACUGGAGGCUGAACCCAAGGCCUCUGUCAGCUGCUACAAAUUCACUCUCUCCACAUCACUACAAGAGCCCUGGACCUGGAGUGUCACCAAACUGACUCAGCUUGCUUCCUUCAGGAGAGCUCAGGCUGGAAUGGAGAGACUCACUGGCUCUUAGGAUGAUGGAAGGAGGCUCAGUCUCACUGCACUCAGCGGAGUGUAAGUGAAGACUGUAAUGGAGUCACCGUUGUCAAGGCUGACACCAGUGAGUGUUCCGUGAAGAAUGCUGGGGGACUUUGCUCUUUUCACUGAGCUGCCUAUUUUGGACAUCUUUCAAAUCAGUACAGCACAUAAAAAUGUCCUCACUCA